rnacentral:tRNA from 1 species
UACAAUUUAGUGUUAUAUGCACAAAAAUUUUUGAAAUUUUAAGAAAUAUGAUAAUUCUAUUAAAUGUAA